rnacentral:rRNA from 1 species
UACGUAGAGGGCAAGCGUUGUCCGGAUUCAUUGGGCGUAAAGAGCGUGUAGGCGGCCAGGUAGGUCGGUUGUGAAAACUGGAGGCUCAACCUUCAGAGGUCGACCGAAACCAUCUGGCUAGAGUCCGGGAGAGGAGAGUGGAAUUCCUGGUGUAGCGGUGAAAUGCGCAGAUAUCAGGAAGAACACCCGUGGCGAAAGCGGCUCUCUGGAACGGUACUGACGCUGAGACGCGAAAGCGUGGGGAGCGAACAGG